AUGACACUGAAUCAUGGCAGCCCUUCCCUCUCUGUGCACUUACAGAUCUACUACUCAGAACUGGCUCCCAGGAGAUGGUCAAAGAAAGUCUGCCAAGAAAGAGUAAAAAUCUAUAGCCUCGGGAAUUUGAAACUUACAAGGUUGCUUCUGCCAGCCUGCUUUAAGGAGACCAAAGGCCAUGAUACAGUGUUGUGUUGGAGAAAUGUUUCUUUCUCUUUGCAACAUCAUGUCAGUCUUUAAUUCUAAUCCACCCCAGCCUUAGAAACUGACAAGGGUAUUGUACCAAGUGGAUUAGAACUUCAAAUGCUACAAAGAUACAAAAGUGCUUUAUUGAAAAAUCCAAGACAGGUAAUUAUCACCCAGGUUUUUCAACGAUUUUUUUUUUUUGAUGUUUAGGUGGAGCUUUGUGCAAUAAUGUUUUAAAGAAAGAAUAAAAAAUAUUUUCAGUGGAUAUAUAAUAGUCUUCAAUGUCUCAUCUAUUGGUUUUCUUUAGAUGUUUAAAACCUCAGUAUGAGUUAAAUUUUAUGAAAUGGGGUCACUGACAUCUGCAAAAGUACAACAAAAAUAUAUACUGAAUAUCCUGUGGACUGAAACACAUAAUUGUCUAAUGAAAAGGUUAUCCACUGUGUUAAGUCCAUCACUGGCGGAAAAUUUCUAUUACUUCUAAGAGAACAGAUUUGACUGUAUCUUCAAAGAGCUCAAAUUUUAUGUUGACUGGAAUUUGUCCAUGGGUAUUACUACGUUCUAUUACCAGCUUAUGGUAUCUAAUUUAGAAAGUCAAUUUACAUGCAAAGCUUUUUGUAUUAUUUGUGCUACUUAAAUUCAUCACAAUACAUUUAUAUCUCCUUUGUGAAAUCACUUCCUGUCUCCAAGCUAUUCAACACAUAACUUUUUAAACAAAAGAAGCUAAUUUAAAGAUUUUUCCAAUAAUUCUAAUUCAGUAACUGGGUUCAUAAAACCUUAAAAAAUAUUCCUUUCUAGUAGAAUAUAUUCACAAGUUGGAAAAGAUCAUUCAUUUAAAACCACUGUCAAUACAAUAUAAUAUUUUCUGGCAUGGUGAAUAGCUAUUACCAUAGCUAUCUAGAAAGGGGUGAGGGGCCUGAGGAGGCCGAGUGUGGUGGCUCAUGCCUGUAAUCCUAGCAAUUUGGGAGGCUGAGGCAGGUGGAUUGCCUGAGCUCAGGAGUUCAAGACUAGCCUGGGCAACAUGGUGAAGCCCUGUCUCUACCAAAAUACAACAAAUUAGCCAGGUGUGGCAGCAUCUGUCUGUAAUCUUUGCUACUUGGGUGACUGAGGUGGGAGAACUGCUGGAACCUGGGAGGUGGAGGUUGCAGUGAGCCGAGAUCGCACCACUGCACUCCAGCCUGGGCGACACAGCAAGACCAAAAAAAAAAAAAAGGAAAAAAAAAGAGAGAGAGAGAGAGAGAGAAAUCAGAGGAAACUGACUUUUUUUUGUUUCUUUAAAGAGGAAGUUGCGGGGAGCAUGAAAUUAGCAGUGCCUAAAGAAAAUUUUCACUCUUUGGUCCUGACGUGGAGAAGAGUUUUU
rnacentral:lncRNA from 1 species